ACUCCUACGGGAGGCAGCAGUGGGGAAUAUUGGACAAUGGGCGAAAGCCUGAUCCAGCCAUGCCGCGUGUGUGAAGAAGGUCUUCGGAUUGUAAAGCACUUUAAGUUGGGAGGAAGGGCAGUUACCUAAUACGUGAUUGUUUUGACGUUACCGACAGAAUAAGCACCGGCUAACUCUGUGCCAGCAGCCGCGGUAAUACAGAGGGUGCAAGCGUUAAUCGGAAUUACUGGGCGUAAAGCGCGCGUAGGUGGUUAGUUAAGUUGGAUGUGAAAUCCCCGGGGCUCAACCUGGGAACUGCAUUCAAAACUGACUGACUAGAGUAUGGUAGAGGUGGUGG
rnacentral:rRNA from 1 species